UUGAUUGAUUGAUGAUUAUUAAAUUCAUAAAGAAAUAUUGAAUUAGAGGAUUUUAGAUUUGGUUUAAAUUUAGGACGGUAAUUUUUGUUUAAAAAGUGUAAAAACCCAAGAAAAAAACAAUGUUCUGGAGAGGAGCGAACUUUGGGUUGUGUCAUCUGUCAGGAAUCAGACAGAAGUGUUCCACUUUGAUGAAUUUGACAACAUCUACAUGUAAGAUUUCUAAUUAAUUUCUUUUUUGCUGACACAUCUCCUACAAACAAUAUAACUGCCAGGUAAAACUAAUAAUUUGUGAGCGUGCCAUGCACACCACAGGACAGGAUGAGGCUCUAUAAGGGACAUAGGUCAGCUGAUCAAAUGUUAAAUAACAAAAGCAGCAACAGGAUAACAUAGAACUGGAAUCCUCUUAAAUUAAGAUAAAAAAGAGCAAACAAUAGAUAAAAUUGUUCUAGCUGACAUGCAGGCAAAUGCUCCAAUAGCAAGAUCACAAAUGAGAAUAAUUAAAAGGGGCAACACUGAAUGAUAAUAAAUUUUUUCAAUUAAAAAUAAAAACAGAAAGAGGCAGGAGUUUUCACUAAAAGAGGCUGAAGACAAAACAGGCAGACUGCAGAGACAGAACUCAGGCAAAAUGAAAACUAUUGGGUUCCUGACAGGGACAAUAACAUAAAAAGAAAAUUAAAAAAAGGGUCAUUGCCACCAGCUCUGAACACACUAGCAUAAAAAUACAGACUUGACUAUUUUCGUUUUGGGCAAAAUCAAGAACAUGACUGCUCUUAAAGGGCCAGUUGUACCAGAAUGUAUUGAUAAAAGCCAUUCACAAACUGUUAAAAUAUCACGCAUUUCUUAAAUAUCAUUGAAUUUUUGUGAUUUUUUGCAAUAAAAAGUGUUUGUGGUAGUAAUUUGGAAAUAUUUGCACUUAUUUAUAACGGUAAAUUUGACUUUUUAUUACUCGCUGUACAGGUCAUAUAAUGGGACAUCAAUUAGGUUUGAGGCAGCUGUUUAGUUCAAGUAAGGAAGUUUCACAUUUUUUUAUUAAAACUGCAAAAACUCCCAAUUAUUUGCUCAGAAAAGUGCAGGGAUUUGUUGAUUUUGGUGAAUUUCCCUGAUAAUUCUAAAAGAAACUGGAGCGACUGAUUGAUAUAAUUUGGCAGUAAACGGAUAGAACUGCAUUAAUUUGAUUGAUGACAUAAUAUUUAAGCACACUUAGUGUUUAGUUUAGAAUCUGGAGGGCCGCACAAACCCACAGCGGGCUGGAUUUGGCCCACGGGCCUUCAGUUUGACACGUGCUCUAAGGGGAUAUAUCCCGUAAUAAUUAAUAUCACAGAAGGAACUUUGACAGUCAAGGGGGAACUGCUACCCCACAAAACUUCAGGAGUCCACACUGGGAAUAGAACCCCGAAUUGGACUGUAUUAGAUCAAACCCCAUCCUCCCCAAAUCCCAUGGUUUGGUCCCAGCUAAAUAUUAUAUCUAGAAACCUGGCUCAGACAAACUACAGUUAAUCUUAAAGGUCCAUACACAAACUUAAUUGAAAUGCUUAAAGAAGCAGUUUUAAAAGGCGUCCCUGGAUAUGUUAUGCAGUCUAUAAAACACACUCAAGAUCUUGCAGGGUGUGAACAUGUGAGAUGGAAAAGACACUUGCUUCAUCACCUCUUAAAGGCGCAGGACGAAUAAAAUAAUAAUAAUAAAAAAACUGUCUUAAGGGCUUAGACACUCUGACGCUGAAACUCCAAUUGCAGGAAGCAAAACAAAAUUACAUUAAUUAAAUAAAAGUAAACAAGAACAUGUGUUGGUUGCAGCAGCAUCUUCUCAAAAUAAAUCUACACAGGGUAAAAUUCCAAAUUACUGGCAAAACUCUAAUCAUACUGGGGGGGGAACUGGUUCCUCCUCCUGCUUUUUCUUUUUUAUAUCCUCAAACAGAUACAGAGCGUUUCCUCGUGGACGGGGAUGGCGUUUGGCUGGAUGUGGAUGAGGGCCAUGGGGCAAGGUCACGGAGCACGAGGCCAAGGACCAAAGGAACUUGACGUGCUACCAGUGCGGACAUUUUGGACACUGGGCCAAACACUGUGUGAACAUACCAAAGACUGCCAGGUAUGAUCCCCAACAAUCCUUAUGUGAUUCCUGGACAUUGCUUUCAGGGGAAUACUGAGGCCACACAGAACAUCUACUGACACACUGCUGAGGACCCCAGAGACAAUGUGGGUACAGCAGACCCCAUGUUGUCUGCAACAGUGGAAGGAAAACACACAGACUUCCUGGUUGACACCGGAGCCACACAUUCCACUCUGAACUCUGCUCCUCCUUUUUCUCUGACAUCAAGAACUGUGUCUUUAACAGGGUUCUCAGGGACUGAACAGAGUCUGCUAUUCACGAUGCCUCUGACCUUCAUUUUGGGUAAUCAGAAUAUGAAACAUUCUUUUGUAAGUUUUCCUACGACUCCCAUGAAUUUGCUUGAGCGAGCUUUGCUGAUAAAGAUGGCAGCAACAAUCAUGUGCUCGGCUGAUGGACUAAUUGUUGCAUUUCCUGAUGGCACCUCCCUUCGUUGUGGAAAUUUCCAAACAGAAGGACAGUAUCUGAUCCAGCCAGUGGUGUCUGAGUUUGCUGACAUCUAUUGAGAACUUUUAACAAAUUUACCCUACAGCAGCCUAAUGUCAACGUUCAUGGCCUGGAAGCCCUGGCUCCUGUGUCUGCGCUUCUGUGUUCCUCCUCCGGAUCCGCCAUGCGUGGCCCUGUUCUGCGACAGAGACGUCUCUGAAUGGUACCAGGAACCUUUCCUUUCCACUUUGAAGGAAACAACCUGGCAGCACCAAGUGAAAAAAUUGGGCGUGACGAUGAAACGUUCCCUGGCAGCCACAGAUUCGAUUGCCACAGCAGCACUAGGUUUGUUUUCCUCCCGUACUCUUUACACAUGUAAUAUCUGUCAUUCAGGGUCUGAUCACAUAAUAAAUCUUAAAGGAAAAUGUACUGCAAUUUUCCAUAAAUCAGUGACCUUAGACAUUCUGAUGAGGCUCCUUGGUUUGUAAAAGUAACAAUCUUCAAACAUAUUUCCCAGCAUACCUACAUUUCUUAAUUAAAUGGUUUUCUUUAUAUUGUUUGGUAAGAUAUUCAAAUUUAAUAUGUCAUAUUUCCAUUAACUGUGAGCAGAAAAUUAUUAUCAUUACUAGAAUUAAAGACUUUAGUUAAAAUAAAUUAACAUCUGAUAUGCAAUACAUAUAAAUAUUUUUAAGACGGACUAUUCCCUCAUAAUAGAAUUGAUUUUAGUUUAAUCAGGUUUUGCAAGAUAUUUUGCAGGACUGCCCACUAGACCUUUUGCUUGCUGCACCAACUAUGGAGACCUGCGUUAAAGCCACCUCAGUUCUUUGAGGAUAUUUCUGUAACAAAACUGACUGUUUUGUUUCAGAAAAAGGGGGAGGAAAAGGGCAUCACCCUUGUACGCAACAGGCAGCUGGGAUACCCGAUACAAAAACUGAACACAUAGUCAUGGGACAUUCACUGAGUUUCACCAUGACAGCGUUGAGACAACAAACACUUUCCAAAGUCCUGAAAGCUCCAAACAUUUCAUUCACACACCAAGACAUAAAUAUGGCAGACUGUUUUUCAGAAGGAGAACCACACGUGUGUGCAGACCUGGUGGCAAAGACAGACAAGGUAACACCAGAACUUCAAGCAGCUCCUCUGCUGGGACCAGAGGUGAGACAGUUCUUUACAGAUGGUUGUUGUUUCAGAAACAACACACAAGGGUUAAGAGCCUGGAAGAGGUGGUGAGAUGUCAAAAGGGGGCGUCACCUGAAGAGAAAAACGUGAAACAAAUGGGUGCUGGAGGGGCCCAGAUGGCAGGUUAAUUCUGCCUCCUGGGAAAAUAGAAGAGCUGCUUCAAGAAGCUCACGGGGUUGGACAUGUUGGGACGAAACAGAUGAUGCACAAUCUUAAAGAGUGGUGGCACCUCAAAUGAUCCACAUGGUGAAACAUUUUGUGAAAAAUUGUUCGGUGUCCAAAGAGAUGGACACCAUCUCUUUGUCCAGGAAAAGAGAUGGUGUUAAAUUCUACUGACAUGAUAAACCCGUUGCAAGACAAAAAUAUUUGCUGAUUUGUGUUGAUGCUUUCACAGGAUGGCCUGAAGCGUGGCCAGCAACAGCAGAAGAUAGUGAAAUCAUCAUAAAAUGUCUAAUCAAUCAUUACCUCCCAAGGCAAAGCAGAAUGAAUGAAUCAAAAUUUAAAACAAAAUUGGCUAAGGUUUGUGCACAAACAAAAUUAAAUUGGGUCGAUACAUUACACAGGAACCAACUUGUUGUUAGACUGAUUAACUGCAACAGCUCAAUAAUAUCAAAUGUCUAACUGUGUGGCCUGCACAGCUGGACGACCCAGAAUGUACUGAACCUGCUUCUUUGAUUCCAUCUGACAUUUGGGGUUUUUAACUGCAUGUUUAAUUUGACUAAGUUUCAACAGCCCUCUAGAUGUGACACUUUAACAGCUUUAUUUCCAGUAAUCAACAGCGGAGCCCGGAUGGUGCCGCUAUUCCAGUUAAAGAUAACUAUGUCUGUUUCAAUUUUACAACAGGUAACCGCAGUGUGGGCCGGAUCCCUGAAAGUUGGUGUAACAUCAAAUUCCCAGGGCACUUAAUAGGCUAGAGAUGGGAUAUUUUAUUUAUGCAGGGGUAAUAAACUAAUUGAGAGAAUAUAGACUGGUGUGACAGGUGUCUGUGCUAUGGUGAGACUUAGAGCCUGUGUCAUCAUGGUAGGUGAACAACAACCUCUGAAUCACAGCAUCUUUUCACAGGUCAAGUGCAGCGCAACUGUGGAGCUGCAACUUUCCAGAUUUUAAAUGUAAAAAGUCCAAUCCUUUCUCGGUGUGCCUGGAUGAAAAUGAGGCAUCUGGACACACGUAGAAACUGGUUGACAUCAACAGAUACUAGACAACACAAUUUUGAAUUAAGUUUGUAGAUCUCAUUAAAACAAAUUAAUCCUGUUGACUUCUUACGAUUUGGCCAGUAUCAUUACAUUGUGUUAAGACUGAAUUUUUAUCUAAAACAUUGAUUGCCAAGUUUAAAAUGUGUUUUCAUUUUGUUCACUAAACAUAUUUCUUUUCAGUUGGUAAGUUUGCAUCUCUUUAUGACCACUAACUACUUUCACAUUUUGAACUUAAAGAUUUCACCGCUCGAGUACUAAAAGGGAUCUUAACAAUACUUUAUUUAGGAUUUUAUUUGUCAGUAUUAUAUCUAACAUUUAAUCAUUUAUCCUAUUUUCAUUAAGUUUUGGCUUAUUGAAGCUUGCAUAUUGACUAACAUUUUAUUCAUUUUGCAUUAUUCAAUUUAUAGUUUACCGGCAUUCACAGUAUUAACCUCACAUUGUAUUCUAUUUACAUUUUAUUGUUCGUUCAAGUUUAUUUUUGAAUGUACUCAUUAACUCAUUAAUUUCAGUUUAUUGUGCAAUUUAAACUGGUUUGAUAUUGAUAGGGUUUGCUAGAAGACAUUGUCUUGAUUAAACUUUGUAGAUUGCAUUACAACUCAAUACUACUGAAUUUUAAUGAUUUUUAUAGAAUAAUUACAUUGUACUUCUACUGAAUUUUUGCUUAUAACAUUGAUUUGCAUAUUUCAAAUGUGCUUGUCUCUUAUUCUGUGCAUUGCACAUGGUUUUCAUCUAAAAAAAGGGAUCUGAAAAUUUCUUUGUUUACGUUUAAAAUUUUUAAGCAUCAUCUAACAAUUAUUCAUUUUAAGGUUUAUCUUCGUGACUUUUGGUUUAAUAAAUCAAAAUUUUCACUAAUGUUUAUUCAUUUCUCAUUUUACAUUUAUUUUUAAAUAAAAUCUAAUGUUUUAUUCUUUUCUUCAUUUUGCAUUUCUUUUCAGGUAUUAAAUAACAUUUUAUUCAUUUUACAUUUCAAUUACCAUUUAUUCAUAAAUUUUUUAAAUAAUAUUUAUUUAUUUUUUAUUUAUUUUUUGUUGAAUGUUCUUUGUUAGCCUGUAAGAGGAACACUGUGGUUUCUACCCGCCGCCCAGGGCCAGGGGGCGCUCUGUUCGAUUUUUACCCCAUAAGAAUGAAAUGAAAUGACAACAACAAACAUCGUAGUGGGCCCGGGGAGUUUUCCGAACAGUGGGCAGUGUUUCCUCAGGAUGUGUGAUGCUCCCCAAGCUGUUCGAUGUUCUAUUUGUGGUCUCUUAGAGACCAAAAGGGGGAGUUGUUGAGACGCUUAUCCAGGGUUGCACGUGUACUCAUGCACAUACAGCUGUAUUUCACACAUAGUAUGUUUCAUUUAUGCGCAGAGAGCUUUUGGAGGAAAAGAACUUGACCUUGCAUGUUUCACUUUCAAACAAAAGGCUUUCAGUAGAAGUGAAACUUAAGCUGACACCAUGAUAUCAUAACAUUCCUUAGCUGACGUAGUUCAUCAGACGACCCGUAAGGCGUGUCUUAGAUAUAAAGAAUGGAUCGUCCGUUUUUGAUCAGAUGCUGUUUAGUCCCGGUGUAUUCACAUCACAACAAAUUAGCCUGUGAGGGUAAGCGUCUCUUUCUUUUUAGCGCUAAAAAGAAUAAAAUAAGUAAAGUCUGAUUAUUUGUGUUUGACUGAUUUUCUGCACGUGUGAUCACAUGCUUCCGAUUCAUCGAUAAUAUAUUUAGAUCAACAAAAUACUGUAGGAAAUGGCAUCAAGUAGUUUAUCUAGCAGCUAAGUGAUUGUGGCAAUUCAACACAGGCACAGUAUUAGGUUUGGUGUUCUAGUCAACAGUGCACAAUGCUACAAAUAUGAUUUAUAGUCUUCAACAUGCCAGGUGCGGUUCAUGCUGGUUUGUGAUUAGUUAUCUUGGUUAGUUGGGAAAAAAAAAUCAGAUGGAACUACAAAAGGCAGCCAAUGCAAAAGCAGUACAACAAGAUCUUAUGACCAAAUCUGGCCAAUCGUCACCUUCACUGCUGGCAGGAAUCAGCCAAUCACAAUGUGCAGCAUUGGAAAGUUGAAACAGACUGAACAAAAUGAAGUGAAACAGAAGCUGGAAGACAAAUUUUGGAUUGGAAAAUAAAUUAGAUGUGGAAAAAGAAGGAAAAAGGGAAACAAAGUGUGCAAAGGUUUUGAGAAAAACAUCAAUAAUACUGUAAGAUUUAGGACAAUAAAACAUAUACAACAAUAAACCAAACAUAAAAGUAACCAUCAGUUACAGUGCAUCACUUAAAAAAGGAUAUCACUUAACAAAAUAAUUACAAAAUAGACUUUGUAAAUAGGCUUUUUAGCUACAUGAGAACAUCCGUCUUAAAGAUAAGGCUCAUUGUUUUGGUUUGCAAUAAUUCUUAUUAUUAUCUGAAGUAUAACUGGAAAUGAAUAUUUAUUAAUUUAAGAAAAAAAGAAUUACUUCAAAAAGAAAGUAAAAAAAAAUCACAAAUUAAAUGUUCACAAUAAAAAAAUAAUAAAAAGUACCAUGUUGAUGCUAAUACAUUUGUAAAAUUCUAAAAAACAAUUGUUCUAAACAGCCUACCAUAAAUAAUGAGCCUUUAAUCUUAAAAAGUGUGAAAUGUAUCUUUAUAGCACAAUGUGUAAAUACUAGAGCUUUUGAUGACUUAAAAUCCUUUCACAUUUGAUAAUGAAAAAAAAUAAAAUACUGUUUUGGCAUUUCCAUUGCACAACUCUGGUGGGCAGUGUUAGAAAGCAGACAACUGAAACAACAAGUUCUCUCACAUCACUGCCAUAAAAUCAAAAUCAUAACAGAAACCACACUCUUUACAGAAUUUUCUUGGUAAGAAUUAGGACAUGUUCCAGGUUACAAUCUUGUAAUUCAGGAAAACGAAAAUUUUAGGCAACUAUAAACCCUGACUAAACAACAAAAUUAGAUGAAUCCACAUCCUGGAUCCACAUCACCCAAGACUUAUGGAGUCACACUGUGGAGUGAAAGUUUCCUGGAGCAUGCCCGCAAAUCAGAUAUUAAUUAAGCAGGGGAGAAAACUCAGGCCAAAGGAGUUUUUGUUUGACAUGCGGCUAGCAGGUUCUAGAAUAGCUAAGCUAGCUCGCAAAAGAGUUGAAGCACCAACUAUGUCCAGAGUUUUUAGUAGAAGUUUUGAAGCACCUGGAUGGGUCUCAAGUAAUUAGUGUCUUAGCACAGAAGUCAACAGUCCAAACUUCCUCAGUUUUGGGGAUUGAUGAAAAAUAUAAAUUUGCUACUAAGCUAGCCAGCCUUAAGCUAACAUCAGUUAAUAAGCUAGCUACUUUUUUUUUUUUUAAGGAAAGAUUAAAUAUCCCCUAUCCAAAAUUAACAUUCAAUUUUCAAGCUCUAUGCUCAAUGCUUUUCAUCUCAUCAUUGUUCAUGUUUCUAUACUUAGUAACUUAGUCUAUAAAAAUUGCUGAAGUGUUUGAUGACCCAAAAAGGGUGUAAGGGUUAGGGUUAUAUACCCAAAAGGAGUAUUUUCAUUUUCAUAUUUGCCUUCAAUUAUUGUUUCGAAACUUCACGGGUGGAACAAAUAAAGUUGAUCCACACCAUGGUCAGCAGACCCAGUGAUUUGUGGCACCACAUUUAUUUUGUAGAGAAAGCCCCAGUGUAUUUCAAUUUGUAAUACAAUUUUAAAUCAUAAAAGUAAAUAAGAGAAUUUGCUCAGACUAAUAGGAAAGUUUAGAGACUUUCAGACUUUUUCCAUUCUCUCUAGAAGUUAGCAAGAAUCUUAAAUUUCCAAUUAAUUCAAGCUGCAACUGUUGCUGUCUACUGCGGGUAAGAUACUGACUGCUCGAAACUAAAGCCACAUUUAUUAUCCACUAAACUUAAGCGGUGGGUCUGAAUAAAGUAGGUUUUUGAGAUAAAUACAGUUUACAAAAAGUCUAAAUAACUGAGGAAAUUUUAAAUGUAGAAAGUGAAGGUGAUAACUGGAGCUUUGACUUAAAUGAACCACAACUGAUUAGGCUGCAAAGAGGUAAAUAUCCACCUAUUAGCCACAUAUAAGUACAUCAUUAGUUUCUCUCCUAGGCAAGCCGUUGGUUGAAGAUUUGCUGCUGAGCCAGUUGGGGCUCCUGGUAGAUUUGUCCCAACAUCUCAUGCAUCAUGCAGAGCAGAGGACAGCCAAGGCUCAGCAGCUCAAACAAGAAUAUAUAAUCCUGUGAGUAGCUCCUGACGUGGGAUCCCACAGCUGUAAUUGACUCACACACGCUUCCCAACAGCUGUUGAGGCAACACACACACAGCCCGACCAGCACGCCUCGGCCAGCUCAGACCGCGCUUAAUCAAGGAAACCAGGGUACCUGUGGGUUGGACGGCGCCUGUGGCUGAACAGAUCCCGCUGUC